UAUUCUGGAUGUAGAUAGGAUAUCCUCCUGUACGUCGGAGACCAGGCCAAGAGUGUGGAGAGGCUGAAGGCCAUCUCCGUGGCCAACCAGAUCAGAGACCAGGAUCAUAGUGGACGGGGAAAUAUCGAGAUUAUUGAUCCAUACUCAAGCGAAGGUGAUGUGAAUAAAUUCUUCUCAGCACUCGGUUCUGGUGAUCAAGAUUCUGUUCCUGAUGCUGAAGAUGGUGGCGAUGAUGAGGACUUCGAACGCGGUGUCACUAAGGAGGUUAUCCUAAAUGAAAUAUCUGACAGUACUGGCUCCAUUCAGAUAAAGAAAUUGUCUCCUCCUUACACGCAAGAUUUGCUUAGUACCAAGG